AUUGAACGCUGGCGGCAGGCCUAACACAUGCAAGUCGAGCGGAUGAAGGGAGCUUGCUCCUGGAUUCAGCGGCGGACGGGUGAGUAAUGCCUAGGAAUCUGCCUGGUAGUGGGGGAUAACGUCCGGAAACGGGCGCUAAUACCGCAUACGUCCUGAGGGAGAAAGUGGGGGAUCUUCGGACCUCACGCUAUCAGAUGAGCCUAGGUCGGAUUAGCUAGUUGGUGGGGUAAAGGCCUACCAAGGCGACGAUCCGUAACUGGUCUGAGAGGAUGAUCAGUCACACGGGAACUGAGACACGGUCCAGACUCCUACGGGAGGCAGCAGUGGGGAAUAUUGGACAAUGGGCGAAAGCCUGAUCCAGCCAUGCCGCGUGUGUGAAGAAGGUCUUCGGAUUGUAAAGCACUUUAAGUUGGGAGGAAGGGCAGUAAGUUAAUACCUUGCUGCUUUGACGUUACCAACAGAAUAAGCACCGGCUAACUUCGUG
rnacentral:rRNA from 1 species